UAAACCUGUAAACCACAAGUUGAAAAAUUAUUUUAAAUGCGACAAAGUAAAACAUAACAAGAAUAUUAAAUUGUCAACAAAACUUAAAACAUCUGCUGAAAAUCUUAUGUCUGUGUUUAGGAUAAUAUGGAAUACUAAGUAAGUUAUUAGCCUAUAGCAAAGAAGUUCAAUUAACUAAAAUAUAUCACUAUAUAAUCAUUAAACCUGAAUGAAAAACACCAUUUACUUAAUUACUAAAUACCUUUUAUUAUUAUUACUAUAAAUAUUUUAAUAGAAAAUAAUAAUUUAAAAAUAUUGAAACUCAGUAGGUUGAUCAAGAAUACUUUGAAUAGAAAUGGGGUCAAAGAAGAGAGUUUUGUAAACAAAAAAAUUGCUUAUGCAAAUUCAACAAUUAGAAAUGUUUACAAAGACAUCUGGAAACUUAAGUAUGUUAACCUAAAAUUGUAUGUGUACUAUAACGGAUGUUAUGAGUGUGUUUGUAUGAAUACUGAUUACCUACAUAUUAUGCAUAAAUAAUAGUGUGUACUCAAUCAACUUACAAAUGUAAUACCAAUGGAAUUGAAAAAUGUA